CUCACUGUGCCUUAGAAGGCAGGAUAUAUAGCAGAUGCUCCUUGGACAGAAUUCCUUCCCUUAUUCAGCGCAUGCUUAUGAAUGCCUCCCCUGAGCCAGGCAAGCUUGAGAUGCUAGGAAUUCAGCUGUGGAAGUUCAGCUCUCAAGAAGCUCACAUCUAGGGUGCGGAGUUAGAGAAAUCAGACCGGCACAUGAUACAGAAGGGACUAGAUCAAGUAGCGUGGAGACCACUGAGACCCAGCCACUGGAGACCAUUAGCCUAGGGAGGUCAUUGGUGUCCUUGCCAAGCCCUGUUUUGGUUCUGGGUCCAGGAGACAGAGUGUAGUCAGAGGAGAGGAAUCACAGACAGCCCAGUGCAGACAACAGGCAACUCUUUCAAGGAGUCAUCUUAUAAAGCAACUAGAACAGUACCUGGCAGACACAAGACACGUAAUACAUAUUUUUGAAUGAGGAACUUGGCUCCAGAAGCCAUGAGAAUAACUUUGUUCCAACACAUUCAGGCUGCGGUCAGAAAGGGUGAGCUGGAAGCAGUGAGCUGGGAGAUAAUGAAACCAAAACACCAUUAUCAGGAAGCUUGAGAACAAGGCCACCUUUUAAGUAUCUAGAAAUUCCCAUUAAUUUCUUCCACACCUUGUUCCCCAUCCCACCUGAAGACUGAAGCUGAGAGGCUUUUUUCCCAGUCAUCUUGACCACAAGAUCAGUUCUCUCCGUGAACAUAAAGACAAAAUCGCUGUGACACCAACAGACAGAUUUUUUAACAAGUGGAAUCCAUGUCUCAUGUAAACAAUGUGCUACUGCCUGCCAUUGAGUUCUCUUCCCUCGUUUUCCUUUUUGAAGACUUAACCCCUUUCCCAAAGGGACAUGUGCUCAGGUUUCUUGACUCCACAGCAAUCCCUUCUGUUGUGUAAGGCAAACUGAUCACCUUUCACAACGAGACAAGAAGUGAUUUAAAUCAGAUGGUGACCCAAUGACAAUGUCUGUGCUGUGUCCUAUGGAGAAAACCAAAGCUGAAAUCCAGUAACAGGUGAUAGGAAGAUGUGGAGAUAGAAACUGACCUGAAUUCUGAAAAACAACAAGAGAAAAGGAAGUCUGAGAACAAGCUGGUGUUCUUCCAAAACCUGUUCAUUGUGUGAAUUCCUAGAAGAUAGCGUGACACCGAGAAACAGGCUGGAGUGACACACCCAAACAAUUAUGCUACCUGGAUCUGCCAAGGCAGGAGGACAAACUCAGCAGCCUGGAGAAUGGAGGACACAGUCCAGAGUUGGUGAGCCAAGUUUUCUUCUGUUUGUUUUGCUGUUGCUGUUUUUGUUCUUGUUGACCUAUUGAGUUCUAUGAUGAGACCAAACGUUUAAUAAUUGUCUUCUAUUCUAAAACUUGUCUCUCAGCAACAACAGCAGCAAUUACUUUUGACCACUCACUAUCGGAAAACACUGCUUUAGGCUGUGGAAAUGCAGUAGUAGAAAAGCCAGGCAUAAUCCUUAUCCCCAUGGAGGCACUAUCUCCAUCCAAGGGCAGAGGACCUGCAAGCCCUGAGGUCUCCAGCUGAGGUUCCUCUCUGAAGGACAGUUGCACUUCAGGUCAUGCUGCAGUAUGAGAGAAGGCAGCGUGACAUCUUGAGUUUCUAAUGCUCACACCUGUCUCAGUGAAGCAUUUUUACAGAGUAAUCACCACCCCCCUCACACCCCCAACAAUGUCAUCAAGUCAUAAAUCUCCUUGGUUUGAAAUAUUGGAUUAAAAUAUGAUUAAACAAUAUGUCUCAAUGGAAAGUUAAGAUAUGUGUGCAUUCUCUAUCCUCAAACAAUCCUGGAAUGCCCCCCCCCCCACUUUAUGAUUUUUUAUGAUUUGCCUAUCAGA
rnacentral:lncRNA from 1 species